CCUACGGGAGGCAGCAGUGAGGAAUAUUGGUCAAUGGACGAGAGUCUGAACCAGCCAAGUAGCGUGAAGGAUGACUGCCCUAUGGGUUGUAAACUUCUUUUAUAUGGGAAUAAAACGUUCCACGUGUGGGAUUUUGUAUGUACCAUAUGAAUAAGGAUCGGCUAACUCCGUGCCAGCAGCCGCGGUAAUACGGAGGAUCCGAGCGUUAUCCGGAGUUAUUGGGUUUAAAGGGAGCGUAGGUGGAUUGUUAAGUCAGUUGUGAAAGUUUGCGGCUCAACCGUAAAAUUGCAGUUGAAACUGGCAGUCUUGAGUACAGUAUAGGUGGGCGGAAUUCGUGGUGUAGCGGUGAAAUGCUUAGAUAUCACGAAGAACUCCGAUUGCGAAGGCAGUUCACUGGACUGCAACUGACACUGAGGCUCGAAAGUGUGGGUAUCAAACAGGAUUAGAUACCCGAGUAGUC
rnacentral:rRNA from 1 species